UGGGGGAUAUUGCACAAUGGGCGAAAGCCUGAUGCAGCGACGCCGCGUGGGGGAUGAAGGCCUUCGGGUUGUAAACUUCUUUUGCUCUGAACAAGGCAUGCUAAUGGGUGUGUUGAGUGUAGGGGUUGAUUAGCGCCGGCUAACUACGUGCCAGCAGCCGCGGUAAUACGUAGGGCGCGAGCGUUGUCCGGAAUUAUUGGGCGUAAAGGGCUUGUAGGUGGCUGGUUGCGUCUGUCGUGAAAGCUCAUGGCUUAACUGUGGGUUUGCGGUGGGUACGGGCUGGCUUGAGUGCAGUAGGGGAGGCUGGAAUUCCUGGUGUAGCGGUGGAAUGCGCAGAUAUCAGGAGGAAUAACGGUGGCGAAGGCGGGUCUCUGGGCUGUUACUGACACUGAGGAGCGAAAGCAUGGGGAGCGAACAGG
rnacentral:rRNA from 1 species